rnacentral:other from 1 species
UAGUGCCUGCUGUAUUCGAUAGGAUGGACUUUGUAUGAGCCAACACUAAUACAAAGGGAGCCCGGUCUCCUGAUGUGGAAUGUAGGCCUUAAUUUAAGGUAACAAGAAGCAUCAGGGAGGACACCCACCUGCUGGGAGCAGGUUCAUUCAAUCCAUCUAACGAUACGGCGGGUAUUUU